rnacentral:rRNA from 1 species
GACGAACGCUGGCGGCGUGCUUAACACAUGCAAGUCGAACGGCAAGGCCCUGCUUUUGUGGGGUGCUCGAGUGGCGAACGGGUGAGUAACACGUGAGUAACCUGCCCUUGACUUUGGGAUAACUUCAGGAAACUGGGGCUAAUACCGGAUAGGAGCUCAUGCUGCAUGGUGGGGGUUGGAAAGUUUCGGCGGUUGGGGAUGGACUCGCGGCUUAUCAGCUUGUUGGUGGGGUAGUGGCUUACCAAGGCUUUGACGGAUAGCCGGCCUGUGAGGGUGACCGGCCACAUUGGGACUGCGAGACGGCCCAGACUCGUACGGGAGGCAGCAGUGGGGAAUAUUGCACAAUGGGCGGAAGCCUGUGGCAGCAACGCCGCGUGCGGGAUGACGUCCUUCGGGUUGUAAACCGCUUUCGCCUGUGACGAAGCGGGAGUGACGGUAAUGGGUAAAGAAGCACCGGCUAACUACGUG